UCCAGGCCCUUAAUUGUCGUGCACUCUGAAGAGCAGUCAGGUGCAGUAUCAUCGCUGCGGGAGGCCCAGAAAAGGUCAAAGAAGUUGCUAAAGUCAAGCAAUUUCUUUUUGCUGUUCACAGGCCCUUAAGGUCUGUGAAGAAUUGUGCUGGGAUUUUGAUGGGGAUUGCAUUGAAUCUGUAGAUUGCCAUUGACAGAAAAGAAAGAAGGAAGGAAGGAAGAAAGGAAAAUAGGAAAGAAGGAAGGAAGAAGAGAGAAGGAAAGAUGGCUCACAGCCCUGAUUGCUGGGAACAAGGAAAAUUUUUCUGUGUGAAAUGAGACUCUGAGGAACUUGCUUUCCACACAGUCUGUAA
rnacentral:lncRNA from 1 species